rnacentral:rRNA from 1 species
GGAAUUUUCCGCAAUGGGCGAAAGCCUGACGGAGCAACGCCGCGUGAGGGAUGAAGGCCUCUGGGCUGUAAACCUCUUUUAUCAAGGAAGAAGAUCUGACGGUACUUGAUGAAUAAGCCACGGCUAAUUCCGUGCCAGCAGCCGCGGUAAUACGGGAGUGGCAAGCGUUAUCCGGAAUUAUUGGGCGUAAAGCGUCCGCAGGCGGUCUUUUAAGUCUGUCGUCAAAGCGUGGAGCUUAACUCCAUUUCUGCGAUGGAAACUGGGAGACUAGAGUGUGGUAGGGGCAGGGGGAAUUCCCGGUGUAGCGGUGAAAUGCGUAGAUAUCGGGAAGAACACCAGUGGCGAAGGCGCUCUGCUGGGCCAUAACUGACGCUCAUGGACGAAAGCCAGGGGAGCGAAAGGGAUUAGAUACCCCUGUAGUCCUGGCCGUAAACGAUGAACACUAGGUGUCGGGGGAAUCGACCCCCUCGGUGUCGUAGCCAACGCGUUAAGUGUUCCGCCUGGGGAGUACGCACGCAAGUGUGAAACUCAAAGGAAUUGACGG